UACGAGAGGUGCAAGCGUUGUUCGGAAUGACUGGGCGUAAAGCGCACGUAGGUGGGUUCGCAAGUAGGAUGUGAAAGCCCCAGGCUUAACCUGGGAAUGGCACCCUAAACUACGAACCUUGAAUGCUCGAGAGGUUGGUGGAAUUCCUGGUGUAGGAGUGAAAUCCGUAGAUAUCAGGAGGAAUAUCGGAGGCGAAGGCGGCCAACUGGUGAUGCAUUGACACUAAGGUGCGAAAGCGUGGGGAGCAAACAGG
rnacentral:rRNA from 1 species